rnacentral:rRNA from 1 species
AACGAACGCUGGCGGCAUGCCUAACACAUGCAAGUCGAACGGGACCUUCGGGUCUAGUGGCGCACGGGUGCGUAACGCGUGGGGAUCUGCCCCUAGGUACGGAAUAACUCAGGGAAACUUGAGCUAAUACCGUAUAAUGACUUCGGUCCAAAGAUUAUCGCCUAGGGAUGAACCCGCGUAGGAUUAGCUUGUUGGUGAGGUAAAGGCUCACCAAGGCGACGAUCCUUAGCUGGUCUGAGAGGAUGAUCAGCCACACUGGGACUGAGACACGGCCCAGACUCCUACGGGAGGCAGCAGUGGGGAAUAUUGGACAAUGGGCGAAAGCCUGAUCCAGCAAUGCCGCGUGAGGGAGGAAAUCCUUCGGGAUGUAAACCUCACAAGCAAGGGAAGAGAGCUCAGGGCCGAAUAAGCUUUGAGUCCGACGGUACCUUGCGUAAGCCACGGCUAACUACGUGCCAGCAGCCGCAGU